rnacentral:lncRNA from 1 species
GCGAGGCUUACAGGUGUUACAGUUAGCGGCAAAGGCUCACGAUCACUAAAGGUCACAACCACAGUUCAUGAUUGGCACUUGGCUGGGGAUGGAGAUGUCUCAGUAGGGUUUGCUUUGCAGUAAUUGACGUCUUGCAGUUGACAAUGAAUGGUUAUUGCCUUACUGGGGCAAUACAUACAGUCUAGACUAGACCACCUAAGCAGCAGCCAGCAGGCCUUUGGCCCAAUUGUUUUAAAAUCCAAAAAAAGGGCCCAAAACCAAAGGCCUGCUAGUUAAAAGAAAAAAAUCUGGCAAAACUUUCAUCUCCUUCAGCAGUGGCGAGCAAUGACCGGGUUCCAACGGUUCCAACCUAUAAAUUUCAUCGAAGUCAGUGAGGGCAGUGACCCCGAUCGGCCCUUAAUGGGUUCGUCCUUGCUCUCAACAAGGUUUCAACCCUAUUGACUAUGAUUUUCGAAAUACAUCACUAGGUAUUGUUUUACUUCUUCUUUAUGUUGAUGACAUGAUCAUGACACGAGAUGAUGUUACAAACAUUCGUACUCAGCAGGAAUUUUUGAGUCAAAAUUUUGAGAUGAAAGAGUUAGGUACUCUGAAAUAUUUCCUUUGUCUUGACGUAAGCUCAUGCUUCAGAUGAAUACUAUAUCUCUCAAGCUAAAUAUGCUUUGAAUCUCCUCUCAAAGAGCUGGUUUUAUGGAUAGCAAGAUUGUCACUAGUCCUCUUGAGCUUGAUGUCAAGCUCAUUGCUACAAAUGGUGAACGUCUAUUGCAAGUGACUCUUUAUCAUAUACUCGUUGGUAGUCUUAUCUAUCCUAGCAUCAUUCACCUUGACAUUGCUUGUCUCGUACAUCUUAUUAGUAAAUUAUGAGUGCUCCUUACUCUAUUUACUAUGCUUCUGUCUUUUGGAAUGAAUUCUUUGCUAGGUCAAAAGGACCUUCCUCAUCCACGUCACUUGACUUAUGAACCUAUGCUGAUGCGGAUUGGGACGGUGAUCGUAAUGAUCAUCAUUCUACCAUGGGUAGUUGAUGCAUGAGAUUUCGAGUCAAGUGAUUCUGACUUGUCAGAUAGUACGUUGAUGGCAUUGAGAUAUCAUGAGUUGGCAGAUCGGCACAAAGAUGGCACGUGAUCACAAAAUUUUCCUAAUUUGGGUGGUUUUGAACAAGUUUUGGUAAUUUGGCCAUAACUUUGGCUACGGUUGUCAGAAUCGCAAUUAUGACUCCAAUUUGAAAAGCUCUUUUCGACGUCCGCGAGGUGUCCACCGAGCUAUGACAUCAAUUUCGAGCUGAAAAUCCGUUGUUUUCCCUUUCAAUUUUUCAUUUUUAGUUAUUUUUUUCAUUUGUGGUAAUAUUUAAUUUGCCUUUUUCUAGGAGAUUUUGAACCUGAACUUAGCCAAGUUUUUGACAACUUACUUCUUUUGUUUCGUAUUUUAUUUUGUAUGAUUCUUGGGAUUUUACUAUUUUUUGUAAAAUUUCAAUAAUUUCAUAUUUUCCAAGCUAUUUAACCCGACUUAUAGGUUAAUUUUCGUCAUUCUAUAGUUCAAUAAUAUUGAGUGAAAUUCAGAGAAGUUUCUUUGUGUUUUUUAGGCGUUUUCUUUCGUACUCUUUACCGUGAAUCAUCUAUUGCAAC